UGUCCUUGCCAUUGUUUAAUCUCUUUUUUUCUUUCUUAAAUCUCUUCUAGGUGACAGUGGUGAUUAAAAAAAAAUGAGGCAACAUACCGUCCAAACCCCAGCUGUUUCCAUAGCAAAUUUAUGCAUUUAUGAAGUCAAUAUUUUCAUUAGCAGGAUGACCAGUUACUAAAGAAACCAAGUGCCAACUUUUGCUAAGCUGGGUGUGAAAAUUGUGAUAGCAGGAAGCUUGCCUGAUUUAAGCAAAACUGCCUGGGAUGCCAGCUUCAGGACAGACACGUGCAUGUCAUCCAUGAGAAAUGUGAGCCAGUCCUUCUCAAAGUUCAGAGAGCUCGUGACCACCCUGUUCCCUGAUGCUGUACAGAACAAAAAUGCUAAGGGUGUUUCCUCCCUCUUACAGCUUUCAGUGUUCCCUGGACAUAAUAAAAUAAAGAUAUAAAGGAGAUGGAUUGGGUUCUUACUUCCCUAUGUACAAAUACAAGAUUUCGGUCAACUGGGUUUUUCCUUUGGUAACCAUCACACUAAGCAUGCAGUGAAGGAAAGCAGAAAAGUAACCAGGCCAGCAAGAAAAUGUAGUAGUUCAUUUAUUAAGAAAUGAAAUGUUGAAGAUUUUUUUUUUCCUGGGAAGUAUGGAGUGAUGUUGGCUUCUAAAACUUGUUCUUGCCAUGGGCACAGCAACUGCCAACAGAAUUCAGAAACAAAACAACUUGAGAACAAAAUGUUUACAUCAGUGGUUCUAAAUGAAGAAGUAACUCCAGUUAUAGCAUUCAGUGUGUCUAUAAUUCACUAGUGCUUAAACUAGGCUCAUCAGUCCAGCCUUUACAUGUCAAAUACAAGACUAAACUUUAAUUUUCUGUAUGGUGAGACUUUUAAUAAAAUGCUUCUUCAUCUCCA
rnacentral:lncRNA from 1 species